rnacentral:rRNA from 2 species
AGGUUAAGUUAACAAGGGCGCAUGGUGAAUGCCUUGGCACUAGGAGCCGAUGAAGGACGGGACUAACACCGAUAUGCUUCGGGGAGCUGUACGUAAGCUAUGAUCCGGAGAUUUCCGAAUGGGGCAACCCAGCAGUUUUAAUCAACUGUUACCACUAGAUGAAUUCAUAGUCUAGUUGGAGGUAAACGCUGUGAACUGAAACAUCUCAUUAGCAGCAGGAAUAUAAAGAAAUUUCGAUUCCCUAAGUAGCGGCGAGCGAACGGGGAACAGCCCAAACCAAAGUGCUUGCACUUUGGGGUUGUAGGACUGAACAUUUGAGUUACCAAAGAACUUGAUAGUCGAAGGAUUUGGGAAAAUCCGCCAUAGAUGGUGAUAGCCCAGUAGAUUAAAUCAAAUUCUCUCAGUUCAGGAUCCUGAGUACGGCGGAACACGUGAAAUUCCGUCGGAAUCCGGGAGGACCAUCUCCCAAGGCUAAAUACUACCUAGUGACCGAUAGUGAACCAGUACCGUGAGGGAAAGGUGAAAAGCACCCCGGGAGGGGAGUGAAAUAGUUCCUGAAACCAUGUGCCUACAAUAAGUCAGAGCGCGUUAAUGCGUGAUGGCGUGCCUUUUGUAGAAUGAACCGGCGAGUUAUGUCCCGUGCAAGGUUAAGACUAAAAAGUCGGAGCCGUAGCGAAAGCGAGUCUGAAAUGGGCGUUUUGAGUACGAGGUUAUAGACCCGAAACCAGGUGACCUAUCCAUGUCCAGGUUGAAGGUGCGGUAAAACGCACUGGAGGACCGAACCCGUGUAAGUUGAAAAUUGCUGGGAUGAGGUGUGGAUAGCGGUGAAAUUCCAAACGAACUUGGAGAUAGCUGGUUCUCUCCGAAAUAGCUUUAGGGCUAGCCUCGGAAUUAGGAUCAUGGAGGUAGAGCACUAUUUGGACUAGGGGCCCGUCUUGGGUUACUGAAUUCAGAUAAACUCCGAAUGCCAUUGAUUCAUAUCCGGGAGUCAGACGAUGAGUGAUAAGAUCCACCGUCGAAAGGGGAACAGCCCAGACCAUCAGUUAAGGUCCCUAAAUGUAUGCUAAGUGGAAAAGGAUGUGGAGUUGCAUAGACAACUAGGAUGUUGGCUCAGAAGCAGCCACCAUUUAAAGAGUGCGUAAUAGCUCACUAGUCGAGUGAUCCUGCGCCGAAAAUGUACCGGGGCUAAGCAUACUACCGAAACCAUGGAUGCGACCAUUAGGUCGCGUGAUAGGAGAGCGUUCUAAGGGCGGUGAAGCAAGAUCGUGAGGACUUGUGGAGCGCUUAGAAGUGAGAAUGCCGGUAUGAGUAGCGAAAGAUAGGUGAGAAUCCUAUCCACCGAAUGACUAAGGUUUCCUGGGGAAGGCUCGUCCUCCCAGGGUUAGUCGGGACCUAAGUCGAGGCCGAGAGGCGUAGACGAUGGAUAACAGGUUGAGAUUCCUGUACUAGUUAAGUGCGUUUGAGCAAUGGAGGGACGCAGGAGGCUAAGAUGUGCAUUCUGUUGGAUUAGAAUGUCCAAGCAGUAAGUCUUGUGAAGAGUCAAAUGCUUUUCACUUUAAGGACAAGCUGUGAUGGGGAGCGAAAUUUAGUAGCGAAGCGUCUGAUGUCACACUGCCGAGAAAAGCUUCUAGUGAGUACUUAACUACCCGUACCGCAAACCGACACAGGUAGUCGAGGAGAGAAUCCUAAGGUGAGCGAGUGAACUCUCGUUAAGGAACUCGGCAAAAUGACCCCGUAACUUCGGGAGAAGGGGUGCUGAUCGCAAGAUCAGCCGCAGUGAAUAGGCCCAGGCGACUGUUUAUCAAAAACACAGGUCUCUGCAAAAUCGUAAGAUGACGUAUAGGGGCUGACGCCUGCCCGGUGCUGGAAGGUUAAAAGGAUGGGUUAGCUUCGGCGAAGCUCAGAAUUGAAGCCCCAGUAAACGGCGGCCGUAACUAUAACGGUCCUAAGGUAGCGAAAUUCCUUGUCGGGUAAGUUCCGACCCGCACGAAAGGCGUAACGAUCUGGGCACUGUCUCAACGAGAGACUCGGUGAAAUUAUAUUGUCCGUGAAGAUGCGGACUACCCGCGACAGGACGGAAAGACCCCAUGGAGCUUUACUGUAGCUUGAUAUUGAGUGUUUGUACAGCUUGUACAGGAUAGGUAGGAGCCAUAGAAACCGGAACGCUAGUUUCGGUGGAGGCGUUGGUGGGAUACUACCCUCGCUGUAUGACCACUCUAACCCGCACCACUAAUCGUGGUGGGAGACAGUGUCAGGUGGGCAGUUUGACUGGGGCGGUCGCCUCCUAAAAAGUAACGGAGGCGCCCAAAGGUUCCCUCAGAAUGGUUGGAAAUCAUUCGCAGAGUGUAAAGGCACAAGGGAGCUUGACUGCGAGACAGACAGGUCGAGCAGGGACGAAAGUCGGGCUUAGUGAUCCGGUGGUACCGUAUGGAAGGGCCAUCGCUCAACGGAUAAAAGCUACCCUGGGGAUAACAGGCUUAUCUCCCCCAAGAGUCCACAUCGACGGGGAGGUUUGGCACCUCGAUGUCGGCUCAUCGCAUCCUGGGGCUGUAGUCGGUCCCAAGGGUUGGGCUGUUCGCCCAUUAAAGCGGUACGCGAGCUGGGUUCAGAACGUCGUGAGACAGUUCGGUCCCUAUCCGUCGCGGGCGUAGGAAAUUUGAGAGGACCUGUCCUUAGUACGAGAGGACCGGGAUGGACAUACCUCUGGUGUACCAGUUGUGCCGCCAGGCGCAUCGCUGGGUAGCUACGUAUGGAUGUGAUAAACGCUGAAAGCAUCUAAGUGUGAAACACACCUCGAGAUGAGAUUUCCCAUUCCUUUAUGGAAGUAAGACCCCUGAAAGAUGAUCAGGUAGAUAGGUUAGAAGUGGCAGUGCGGUGACGCAUGAAGCGGACUAAUACUAAUCGGUCGAGGACUUAACCAAG